GAUGAACGCUGGCGGCGUGCCUAAUACAUGCAAGUCGAGCGAACGGACGAGAAGCUUGCUUCUCUGAUGUUAGCGGCGGACGGGUGAGUAACACGUGGAUAACCUACCUAUAAGACUGGGAUAACUUCGGGAAACCGGAGCUAAUACCGGAUGAUAUUUUGAACCGCAUGGUUCAAAAGUGAAAGACGGUCUUGCUGUCACUUAUAGAUGGAUCCGCGCUGCAUUAGCUAGUUGGUAAGGUAACGGCUCACCAAGGCAACGAUGCAUAGCCGACCUGAGAGGGUGAUCGGCCACACUGGAACUGAGACACGGUCCAGACUCCUACGGGAGGCAGCAGUAGGGAAUCUUCCGCAAAGGGCGAAAGCCUGACGGAGCAACGCCGCGUGAGUGAUGAAGGUCUUCGGAUCGUAAAACUCUGUUAUUAGGGAAGAACAUAUGUGUAAGUAACUGUGCACAUCUUGACGGUACCUAAUCAGAAAGCCACGGCUAACUACGUG
rnacentral:rRNA from 1 species